CGGUGCAAGAUCCACAAGCCACAACGAGUAACGCUAGUUUCGAUUUGCUUGGAGCAUUCGGGGAUGAUAAUUCAUCUGGCAUUGGCUCGGCUCCAAUACCUGAUAUUUUAGAAAUUAAUGUACAACCAACUUCAAAUGCCAACCUUGAUGAUAUCUUCGGCUCAGUUGCUUCAUCGGCGCCGAAAAUCAACCUGGAGUUUAAUAGUUUUUCUGUAAACCAGCCGACACCAA